GACAUGCAAGUCUCACUCUUUAUCUUUAUCUUUUAAUUAAUGCAUUUGUGUUUAUGCCUUUAAUUUCUUUAUUGCUUCCAUUAGUGGUAAUUAGUCUUAGUUGGUGAACAAUUAGAAGUGAAUGCUUAAUUGCUUAAUUACUUUAUCUGGGUUUUCAAGAGUGGUCAAUCUCUUGAGGUUUUCAUAGUUUAGGGUUACAAUUGAUUGAGUUCAUAGAGGUAAUUAGGCUUCAUAUGCUAAUUGGUUCUUGUUCUUCCAAUCAAUUGUAGGUCUAGCUCUUAUAUUUAUAGCUUAAGAUUACAAUUGAUUGGGUUCAUAAAGGCAAUUGGGUUUCAUAUCCUAAUUGGUUCUUGUUCUUCCAAUCAAUCAUAGGUGAUUGUUCAUAUGCUUUGAUUUCGCGUGUUUUGCUAUAUCCGUAUUUUCAAUAUGCUUCCGUAUCAUGUUGGUAUGAGAGUGAAGGUUUUGGAUUGUUCUAUCAAUCCUUGGGUCUUUGUUUUGAUUAUCAUCAAAUCUGAAAAUCAGAAAAUAAAAAUAAAAAUAAAAUCGAAAAUUUCCCAAAAUAGCUAGUUCACUGUUCAUCCGAUAUUGUUAUCACUAUUUUUUGUGUGUAUUGUGCUGAAACUUAAAUUCCUUCUUCUCUCUAAGGAUUUUGAUUCUGAAAAUUCCGAUUCCUUCAUUAUCUGAGUUUAAUUACUGAUUUUGUGCUUGAAAUCAUUGGAACCCUAGCCGAAAUUGGGUGUAAAUCGAUUGGGAGACUACUCGUCGAAGGUGGAGUUCGAAACUGCCUAAUCUGAAAAAUUAGGGUUUGAAUUCGAUUGGGUGUUUAUGAUACUAGCUGGAAACUUCAUUUUGAAGCUAAAUCUGAAGAUUGGAAGAUGGUUUACGAGUUUUGGUUAGAAAUUUUGAACUGCUUGUGCGAAGAAGAAGACGACUUAGGGCUUUUCGAUUCCAUCAGUGUUUGAAUAAAUUGAUUUUAGAGUUUUGUUCGAGUUGUUGAGAGUUUGUGGCUAAAGUUUGGGUCCAGUUGAAGAUGAUUUGAGUGAGGUUUACCAGAACAUUUUGAGCCGAACUUGAAUCAGUCGAAGAAUACUUGUUUCGAUUGAAGAACUUCCUGGACUGAUUUGAGUAGAUUCGAGUAGCUGGUAAAUCGAAGAAGAACACUUGUAGAGCUGAUUCGAAUUGAUUUUUAGGUUGAUUUGGAGUCGAUUCUCUCAAGAAGACGAAGAACAACAACUGUGUUCUUCAAUUUUUUUCUAAGAUUCAUGUGCAGCUGAUUGGGCUCCACGAAGGCAAUCGCCUCGACGAUUGAACUUUUCGAUUACAGUGUCGAUUGAAUUCAGAAGAAAACUCCAGGUUCAAAUUCUUUAACCCCUGAAGGUUUGAAUUUCUGAAAUGAAUCUUAGGUUGAUUUCUGAGUUUUAAACUUAGACUGAUUUCUAAAAUUGUGAAGAGAAUUUGAGUUUCAACUGAGCAUUGACUCGAUCUUUCUGAGUUGAAUUCAUAAGUUCGACUCGAGUUCCUUAAUCGAAUUUUGAAUGAGUUUUUGGUUUCUGAACUUCUGAGAGGGGAGUUGAGAUUAAUCUGAAAAGGGGUUUUGGAGUUGAAUUUUGAUUCUCUGAGCUUAGCUUGAAUUCGUAUGCUCAAUUCGAGGGUAUGAUUUUGCCGUGCUUGUAGUUCUUGUUGUUGGUAAUUACGACUGAGUUUCUGACUCUCUAAGCUUCAUGUUUAUGAGUUUUGAGCAUACAAAUUCCCUCUGAUUCUGCAAUCUUUUGAGAAGUGAUUAAGGUGGUUUGAGCCAAGGUAAUCGAGCCAUGAAUCUGCAGCAAAGAGCAGCAGUUUGCAGUAGUGUUCGACAGUAAAUUCUGCCAAGUUUGAGCAGUUGUUUCUGCGCAGAUUUAAAGGUUCCACUGGUUCGAAAUCCUGAGAAUUUCUGAGCUUAAACAUAGUUGGUUUCUGAGUUUUGAAGCUGAAAAAAAAUUGAAGCACUCAUCUAUUUUUGAACCAGUUAAGCUGCAGCUCCUUUCCCUGUUCUCUGUGUACACAACAUAUUGAAAACAAAUUGCUUGGUUGACUGUUCUGAUUUUAGCCAAACUCAGCUGUGUUUUGAUCAAGUUUUGACAUCAUUUUUUGCACUGCUUUGAAGCUGCAAUUUCUGCACUUUUGUGCAUUGUUUGAGCUGAUUGUCUUGUAACUGAGUACCUCAUUUCAUUUGCUGCAAAUUCAAGCAACUUCAGUUACCAUAGACAAGUCAAUACUUCAGAUUGACAUUUUAAUUGAAGCCCAGGAUUAGAGCUGAGUUCUUUGGGAGUUCAGACUGCUAUUAAGAUUCAGUUUGUGUUCUUUGUGUUAACUAUUGAUCAGUCCAUUUUCUGCACUGUUUGAGAUCUGCCACGGCUAGUUUCUCCCAGUUUGAACCUAGGUUUAUGCUGCAGAAGAACUCUGUAACUUCACAACAAAUCUGCAUAGUGGUAGCUGCCUUUUGGAGCUUGUUGCUGCAACUCUUUGAAACUGUUUUGGCUAAAGUUCUGCACAGCAAAUUUCUGCACUAUUCUCCACUGUUUUGAACUCACUUGGAGCUAUUUUGAGCAGAAAAUCAGUGUGAAGAACUGUCCAGUAGGCUGCAACUGUGUACUGCCUUAGUUGUGUGGAAUCUUCAGGAAGAUCAGCUAGAAGUUUUCCAGCUGCUGCACCAUUUCUUCACAAGUGUUGCACUAGUUGGUCACCUGUUCUACUCUAGUUUUAGCACCAGUUUUGAGCUGCAUCCUGCGCCAAGAUUUCUACACAACUGGUUGCUAAGACGAUCACCAACAGUCUGCAACUUUAUCAGCUUUUGUGAAUCUGUCCAGAAUUACAGAUUAAACCAUUCUUUGCAAAUCUGGCCAGUUUUACAAAUCUGUCCAAUUUUUGCGAAUAUGACCAUAUUUUGAAAAUUGCCUGGUUAUGUAGUUUCUUUUCUUUUCUUCUUCUAAUUUGUAGUGAACAUAACUCUCAACUAGAUUAACUUGAUAUUAGUUCAUAUUAAGUUUAAUUCUAGUUUCUUUGUGUCCUUUGUUUUUUUCGUGCCAUUUCUUUCGUGCUUUUCUCUUUAUUUUCGUUGUGAAUUGCUUGGUUCAAGUCCGUUUGCUUUUAAUUGUCCGUCCUUGUGAAUACACAACUUCCACUCCACCCCAAAGACGGUUGGAACUUGUUGGGAAACCUUGGGACUUAACUUUGCUAGCAAUUUUGAUAUUCAAUACUUGAGCGGAAAAAGGCAAGAGCUAAUAGGACUUUGAGUACGCAAAAGCCAAUUAGUGCAAGAUGUGAUACACGAGGGUUGAGCGACAUCAAGUGAGUUGGUGGACUUUUACUACUAACUUGUUUGCUCGUUUUGUAGGUAUCAUGGAGUAUGGACAAACUUCUAGUCUGAAUUGUGAUCCAAGGAGUGAGACUCCAAUGCAUUAAGUUAUCUCUAUGAUUUAUGACAUAAGUGAGAAGGUUACCAAUUUUACCAUAUGGCAACACAAAACGAGUGCAAGGUUGAAUUCCAUGAUGGAGGAAUCUCACUUGAGGCGACAAGGAAGGGAGCGUAGUAUCACGCUUACUCAUUCCUCUACUACACCCUCUCCUUCACAAGUGCGACAAAUCUUUCAAAGAGGAAAACCGCAACAUAACGAACAUUUCCAAAUACCACAAAAACUACCAAAGCGACCACACUCACCAAAGGGACCUUAUUUUCCUCCACCAAACUACUGAACACCUACCCACUACCAAUACAAACCACCAUUUAGACUUCAAGCGCACAUACCCAUAAUACCACCACCCCAAAUGACCCAACCUAGACCACCAAUGAAUCUACGUCCCCAAAAUAUGCCUCAAGUACCAUUAAGGAGGGACAAUCUUCCUCCUCCACCAAUCAUACCACCUCAAGAACCUCGAAUGAUGAACAACCCACUUUUUUAACAUGAUCAAGAGGACACCUUGAAUGAACAACAUCCAACAAGUUUUCCAUGAUAAAUAUAGGGGGAAUGAAGUGAACCAAAGGGGAAAAGGCCAAAUGAGUUUGAGAACAUCCUUGAAAAAUGCAAAGAGAAAAAGUACGGAUGGGAGACAAAAGAUAGAGAGAAGUAAGGGAGAGAAAAGUGACAACACUAGAGUGGAAAAAGGAGAGAAAGUGUGGAGUGAAGUGAGCGAGUUGUCACAAGAAAAGAGUGAAGAGCUUGAAAAGAAAAUGAGAGAAAAGAAAGAGGGAAAACAAAAAGAGAGUGAGGAUUUUUCUUAUUCUAAUGCUAAUAACCUUUCUUCAUUCUCUAGUUAUUUUGUAUCUUGUGAAGGAAUUUUUGGAGAUGAGCCCUCAAGUGAAGUUCAAUCUACUUUGAUGAACUUGAAAGAAGAUCAAGCUACCUUUUCAAGAGAACUUUUGAAAUAUAAUGAACAAGUUCAAGGUAAAGAGAAUUUUACUUUAGAAGAGCUUCAAGGUAAAAUAGCUUAUCCUUCUACUCAUGAUACUUUAGUUGAUUGUGGUGACACUUUGAGUUUGAAAAAUAGCUAUGACAUUGAUGAGUUUGAUACUUCUUUAUCUUGUAAUGAGAAAAAUAGUUAUGGCUUGCAACUAGCUAGCUAGGAGUUCUUUUGCAUUAUUGGAUGAUUCUAGUUCUUUGUUUAAUGGAUCCUUAGCUAGUGAUGUGUGUGAUGUUGGAUCUUAUGAUACCCCACCUUUAUGGGAUGAUGCAUGUGAUGGUUCUUUUGACUCUACUUUAACUUUGAUGGAAGAUAAUUUUGACCUUUAUGGAGUAAUGAGUGAAGAAGAAUGUGUUGAUGAUUCUUUUGAUUCUAUUUUUAUUCCUUUGGCAAAAAGAUUCAAUUUUUGUGGUGAAAUGAGCAAACGUGAGUGUGAAGAUGCACUGUUGGAGAGUGAACCAUUUACUUAUAAUGACACAAAUGUAAAAGAAGAAAACUUCCAUUUGUAUUCCAAUGAGUUGACUUCUCUUGUAUUUGAUCCUGAUGACUCAUGCAUAUUUAUGUGAUGAUUUUGUUGAGUGUGAAAAGGAAAAUAAAGUUUUCGAUGCUAGCACAAGUAUUAAUUGCUUUACUUAUCUUAUUCCUACUUUUGAAAGAACAUUCUCUAUUGCCAAUGCUCCUAUGAGAAAAGGUAAGAAUAUUUCUUUUGGUGUUUUGAGUAACCAUUUUGAGCAAAAAGAACCUAAUUUUAUUGAAUGUUUUAUGAAGGUUCAACAAGAGAAAGUUGCUAAGGAUAAGAAAGGCCUUGAACUGACACUUUGGUUUACUUUUUGUCAAGAGUUUUUUGUUUUGCCCAAAAGCAAGAAUGAUAUGUACGUUUGGCUUAUGCUUAUCUUGUGUUUAUCAAAGGCCAUUGAGGUCCAAAUUCGAGGACGAAUUUCUUUCAAGUGGGGGAGGAUGGUACAUCCUGGAUGAACAUGCCUAAUAAUUUCCAAGUCAGCAUCAUAGCAUUGGAGUGCUUUAAAGGAGUCAAGAUCAAGAAGGCUAUACUUGUAAUAAUUGACUAAGCUCCUUAGAAUUAGCUUACGGGUAUUUGAGUCAUUUGUAGCCCAAAUACCCACUCUAGUAUAAUUAGCCCAUAAGGCUUUUAUUUUAGGUAGACUUGAUGAAUGAUAAAUUUGAAGACAUGCAAGUCUCACUCUUUAUCCUUAUUUUUUAAUUAAUGCAUUUAUGUUUAUGCCUUUAA